CUCGGGUUAGUUACAAAUAUCUUUGACUUAACUGUCUUCCUCCUCUGUUGUCUAUAGUUGCUCCACAGAUCCUGCCCUCCUCUAGCUGCAUCAGAACUGCAGAUCAGAUCGACUGUACCUAUGAGAGUCAUGGGAACCCCUCUGCCAAAGUGGAGGGGCGAUUGUCUGGAACGCCUGUCAAUCAGUUUACUAACAUUGUCAUCAGGGAGCCAAUGGGCAGCACAGGCCUGAGAAGCUCCCUUACCACCCAUCAAUCACAGGAGGAAGACACGCCCACUCUGGUCUGCCUCAGAACCAGCUCUGUAGGAUCUCAUUCACAAGAGGUCAACUUGACAAUCUUCAUCACUGCAAUAUUUGUUUCGACAUUAAUGACAGCACUGAUAUGUGCUUUACUGUUUCUCCUAAGUACUCAGAGGUCAAUACAAAUAUUAUGACUGUGAUGUGGUGAUGAACCUAGUUCCGACCAGUAGUGAGAGGACACAGGAUCCUCCUGUGCCAGAAGAAGACAUAUACGCCAACAGCAUGAUUCCAUGUCAGGCCAGGAGACAGGGACGCAAAACAAGACCUAGAGGCCCCCAAUCCGGGUCCCAAACCCCUGCCUUCCGCCAAAGCCAUCUCUGAGACAGACCGAACCAGCCUGCCCAGUCCAAUCGCUGACACUGCUACAGUUCCAGGAGAAGUCACUGCAAAGAAGGAUGGAGAUGGUGUGUUGUAUUCCAGUGUGAU
ensembl:lncRNA